ensembl:ncRNA lncRNA:CR44736 long non-coding RNA:CR44736
UCAUGUUUUUCGUGUGUCACACAUUUGAAUAACAGACCCUAUCAAUCAUCGAAAAAAUACAGUAGCAAUAGUAAUACCAACAAAAACACCAUGGAACUGAACUGAAACGUUGAGCUAAUGAGUGUUGACAUAUGUCAGUUAAAAUGGAGCCCACUAAUAGGAAGUGAGGGAAAACCGAAAAAGUGACAGAGGAAUGCGCCAUGGCAGUCCCUAUCUGGAUGAUUGUUAACAAGCCGACUGACAAAACCGCAAUGAAAUUGAGCAUUCCAGGGGAUUAAUUAAAAUGUUGACGUCUACCGAAAAAAGCAAUUGAGAUCCUGUAAAUAAAGGACACGAGAGCAAUAAAUAAUAUUACGAAUUGGGAAUC